CUUCCUUCCGUCGUCCGCUUUCUUCGUCGGCCUCCUUCUCGACUCCACCACUCCUCUUCCCUUCUCUGCCGACUGCUUCCUACUGUCCUCCUCUUCACUUGUCGAUCACCUGCCCCCGCCGAUUGAAGAGCAGGUAAUACCCCGUGUGUGAUCGAUCGUGCCUUCUUCUGCCUUCUUUGAUUGGGUACUGCGUGCUUUUGCUGUAAAAGAAUACACGAUCGAUCGUAACGAUUGGGAUUGGGGAAGGAACUUUGGCUUCGAUUCUUGGGGUUGGGAUUUAUCUUAUCUCAAUUCUUGGAAGUUGCCUGGUUCUCGAUCAAGGGUUCUUCAGGAUGUGGUUCGGGAUUCGUGCUCUGUUCAUUACUUCUGAUUCUGGCAAAUCCGCUACGAGUUGAUCGAUCAUCGGUGGUCAAGAGGCUUAUGGUUUUGCCUUGGUUUGGACGAUCUCAUUAUGAAAUCAUGGAGUUCUUGUUCAGUGGUGAAAGUAUAUUAGGAAAAAUAAGCAUGUCUAUGAUAAGGUCUGUGGAUUCAUCUACUGCCAAUGGUGACUCCAACCUUCAUGCAAAUAAAAGUGGUGGUGAGAACUCGGGUUUGCCAAGGCAAAUAUUAAGUGGUGCUGAUAAGCGGAUGUACGACCAUCGGCCUGCUUCCUAUAAAUCAGACUUACAUCCUCAGCAACACUUCAUUGAUUCAUCAUCAGAAAUGAUACAUGUUAAUCCACUUGACAUGUCUAUAUCCAGCAUUCCAGAACACUAUUCUCAAGUUUCAUCAGCUCCCUAUCAGUUGAUAGCAAACUUUCACUCAUCUAUUUUGUCAGAAAAUCCAUACAGCUCUUGCAUUGCUGCAGUUCAGUGUCCUGAUUCCUCAGCAGGCUCUAACGUCUCUCAUCAGGCAUCCCAUUCUUUAUCUGAUUAUCCAAGUCCAGAGCAAGAAAUAGACUAUGGCAAAGAUGAAAUCAGGUUAAAGCUUCAAGAGCUUGAGCAGGCAUUACUGAAUGACAACGAUGAGGACUUGGUGGAUUCCGACCAGGUUGUGGGAAUUGAAGAUAAUUGGACUGAGCCUAUCAAGGACCUAUUAGUUCCUUGCUCACCAAAAGAGUCCUCAUCAGAUUUAAGCAUCAGCUGUAUUGGCAGCAAUAGAGAACCUCCAACUCCUAAGCAGCUACUUUUUGACUGUGCAGCUGCAAUCUCGGUAGGCUGCAUGGAGGAAGCACAAGCCAUCAUAACUGAGCUUCGCCAAAUAGUUUCAAUUCAAGGAGACCCUCCUCAAAGGCUUGCUGCCUACAUGGUGGAAGGUCUUGCAGCAAGAAUAGCUUCUUCAGGACAAGGUAUUUAUAAGGCUCUACGAUGUAAGGAACCCCCUACUUCCGAUCGGCUUUCGGCGAUGCAGAUACUGUUCGAGGUCUGUCCAUGCUUUAAGUUCGGUUACAUGGCAGCAAAUUAUACAAUCGUUGAAGCAUUAGGAGAUGAAGAAAAAGUUCAUAUCAUAGACUUUGACAUAAACCAAGGAAGUCAAUACAUAAACUUGAUACAAACUCUUUCGACGUGGCCCAGCAAACGGCCACACCUAAGAAUAUCUGGUGUUGAUGAUCCCGAGUCAGUGCAACGGGCAGUCGGAGGUUUGGAGAUAAUUGGUCAGCGCCUUGAGAAGCUGGCAGAGGAGCUCGGUGUUCCAUUCGAGUUUCAAGCAAUAGCUGCUAAAACCAGCGAUGUAACACCCGAAAUGCUUGACUGCCGAUCAGGGGAGGCACUUGUGGUCAACUUUGCGUUUCAGCUACAUCACAUGCCAGAUGAGAGUGUAUCAACAGUGAACCAGAGAGAUCAGAUGCUUCGAAUGGUGAAAGGGCUGAGACCAAAGUUGGUAACUCUUAUCGAGCAGGAUAUGAACACUAAUACAGCCCCAUUCUUCCCAAGGUUCGUGGAGGUCUACAAUUAUCAUACAGCGGUCUUUGAAUCACUCGAUGCAACUCUUCCAAGGGACAGCACGGAUCGAAUGAACGUGGAGAGGCAGUGUCUUGCGCGAGAUAUCGUCAACAUCGUUGCCUGCGAAGGUGCUGACCGCAUAGAGAGGUACGAGGUUGCAGGAAAGUGGAGGGCGAGAAUGACGAUGGCCGGGUUCAAACCAUGUCCCUUCAGCACCAGCGUCAAUGGAUCAAUAGGAGCCUUGUUGAAAUCAUACUGUGACAGGUACAAGGCCAAGGAGGAAAACGGGGCACUCUACUUCGGCUGGGAAGACAAGGUUCUAAUCGUUGCCUCGGCAUGGAAAUAAAGCAUUCUUGCCACAUCACAUGGUUUACACUCGACUCAGUUGCUGCUGGGUUGAUAACUGCUCAGAUGGUCUUGUGGCAAGAAUGCAAUACAACUUGGCAUCUUGUAAACGGGGGAUUCUUGAUGUGUUCUUAAGUUGAAUGCAAACAUUGAGGGACAGCUGGAAACCUUGUGAAACAGAUAUUUCACUUUUGUUUCUGGAAUCAGCAUCGAGAAGGAAGAGCUCAGCACCAAUGCAAGGCCUGUAUAAGCAGAGAUGUUCAACAUUAAUUGGUUUCAACAAAGAGAAACUCCAGUGACUUUUUUUCUUUUUGUAAUUGGGGCCCCAGAGCCACACAGUGUAGGCCACAAAGACCAAAAGGUCAUGGUGCGCUACCAUCUCAGAUAAGGAAUGGCGGCAACUCCCCAUGGUUGUUUUGUGAAAUUCAACUGGACUACCGAAGACCAUCUUCACUUGUCAUAUCAUCAUAAAGAUAAGGUGUUCUAUUAAACCUACAGAAACUCAAAUUGUUGAAGAAUAUUUGUCCAAUUAGUUAGAAGUGGUGGUUAUAGGGUGAAUUUGGAGGGUGUGUUUGGACUUUGAUGUAUUUUCCUGUAUUGUUUUGUACAGACUUCAACAUUUUGGAAUAAAAUUUCACUUUUCCA